GACGGAGGAUGCAAGCGUUAUCCGGAAUGAUUGGGCGUAAAGCGUCUGCAGGUGGCAGUUCAAGUCUGCUGUCAAAGACCGGGGCUUAACUUCGGAAAGGCAGUGGAUACGGGCUGGCUAGAGGCAGGCAGGGGAGAACGGAAUUCCCGGUGUAGCGGUGAAAUGCGCAGAUAUCAGGAGGAACACCGGUGGCGAAGGCGGGACUCUGGGCCGAUACUGACGCUGAGGAGCGAAAGCGUGGGGAGCGAACAGG
rnacentral:rRNA from 1 species